rnacentral:rRNA from 1 species
GUGAGGAAUAUUGCGCAAUGGAGGCAACUCUGACGCAGCCAUGCCGCGUGCAGGAAGAAGGCGCUACGCGUUGUAAACUGCUUUUAACCGGGAAGAAACCCCAGGACGUGUCCUGGGUUGACGGUACCGGAGGAAUAAGCACCGGCUAACUUCGUGCCAGCAGCCGCGGUAAUACGAAGGGUGCAAGCGUUAUCCGGAUUCAUUGGGUUUAAAGGGUGCGUAGGCGGAGCGUUAAGUCAGUGGUGAAAUCCUGCAGCUUAACUGUAGACUUGCCAUUGAUACUGGCGCUCUUGAGUGCGCUUGAAGUGGGCGGAAUGUGCCGUGUAGCGGUGAAAUGCUUAGAUAUGGCACAGAACACCAAUUGCGAAGGCAGCUCACUAAGGCGAUACUGACGCUGAGGCACGAAAGCGUGGGGAGCAAACAGGAUUAGAAACCCCUGUAGUCC